UAUUAGUAGAGGCUGAUAGGCAGUUCUCUCCCCCAUGGAAGGAGCCUCAACAAACAAAUGACCCUUCAAGAGAAGAUGGGUGCCUCAUAUGGAAUGAAUCACUUAAUAAAGGGGGAGCUCUUUUGUUAAGUUGGUGGGAAAGGACCCCAGGUCUUCAAGGGCUGACAAAGACUCCCUCAAGGGGCCCUGAAAGAAGGAAACCAUUUUCUAUUGAAGAGGAAUUUGUGUUUCAUCUGAGGAUCCCGACUGCUCUGAAGAGUGCGUGGUAGAAGUCAUGAAGAACUCAUUCUCCACGUGAAGUUCCUGCACUGUGCCUGGAUCCUGACAGACAUAUCUGGAUGAGAGGUCUGGGGAAUGGGUGAUGGAAUUACAAGGAAGCCACCUCAACCAGCGCCCGGCCAUGGCUCCCCUCUUCUUG